rnacentral:lncRNA from 1 species
GGGGGCGCUGAGGGCGGCUGACGGCUGCUUCGUGUCCUCAGGGUGAGAGCGCGGAGAAGCUGCCGAAGCGCCGGGAGAAGCUGAAGCGCCGCGGGCAGGCUGAGGGCGACCAGGCGCAGCCUGAGGAGAGCGGGCUGGGCGAUGGCGAGCUGCAGCCGCCCCUGCCCAAGAAGGCGAAGAAGCGGCUGAAAAGCAGCGGCGGGGCUGAGGAGAGCGGCACCGAGGCGCUGGGCAAACCUUCCUCGGCUCUGAGGGAUGGCGAGGCAGCACAGAGCGUGGCCAACAACGAGGUGGAUGGAGAGCACGACGGCGACUCCGAGGAGCUGACAGAGGAAGCAAGAGAAGGUGCUUUCUCCAACUUUCCUCUCUCCAAAAACACCAUCAACCUUCUCAAAGGUUAGUUAACGUGGCAAAAUAAAUUUCUGUAAGUGUUUGUUGGGAUUGUGCUCUGAUAUCCUUAAGAGCAGAGAUUGAAACCUAAAUCGUCCUGCAUUUUUUAUGCAGUAAGGAUACGCACCCCAGCAGUCACUGUAGGUUCAAAGAACCUGCUGUUAGUAGUCUGAUAAAGUUUUUUAUGUUCAAUUUCAAGGGUACUUAUUUCAGGGUAAAGUUGUUCUUUUUACAGUGUGGUUACUACUGUGUAUACAUUUUAUAGACAGUGUUUUUUUUUCUUACUAGCAUCAUUUGAUUUACCAUGUGUGUUCAAUGCUUAUAUCUGUUCUCUGUAAUAUCACUUCUUAAAUAAGCGUAGUGUAGUUUUGAUUACAAGGGCCUUUCAGCUUCUGUGGAAAGAUUGUCUCUGAUUGUUCUCAUACUUUCGGGCAUUUUCAUCUGUCUUUUAGAUUAGCUUUCUUGUGGAAGUAGGAGCUGUAGAAUUCUUACUGUUUUCUGGGAAGUUGUAUAGUUCUUGUUCCCUAGACAAAAUUAAUAUUGUUGCCUUACAUUUUCCUUGCUCAGAAGCGUCACUGGGGUGCAUUGUUUCGCUUCCAUUCUGCAAAAUGUCUCUGAAUUUUCAGAAUGUUUUCUUAAAACAAACAGCUUCAUCUCAUCCCCUGCCUUCAAAGCCAAGCUACAAUAAAAUCUUGAUCAGUAUCAGAAAAAAACCUAAUAUAUAUAUUUUUCCCUUGGUGUCUUGCACCAAAUGUUAGAAAGAAGGCUCUAUUUCAUUGUGAUUGCUCACCUUUGUCUUUGGGGGUGAAAUACUUCUUGAUCUAGGGUAGGAGUGAAAACAAAUAGGUGUGUGUGUAUGUCUUCUAACACGUACCUCCUGGGCUGUACAGGAUUUGGCAGGAUUUGUCUCACAUACUCAGGCUAGUUCUGUGUGAAGGCUCCUAAU